CGCGGGGUGGAGCAGUGGUAGCUCGUCGGGCUCAUAACCCGAAGGUCGCAGGUUCAAGUCCUGCCCCCGCAA
rfam:Solibacillus silvestris StLB046 DNA, complete genome.